rnacentral:rRNA from 1 species
ACUCCUACGGGAGGCAGCAGUGGGGAAUUUUGGACAAUGGGGGCAACCCUGAUCCAGCCAUGCCGCGUGAGUGAAGAAGGCCUUCGGGUUGUAAAGCUCUUUCGGCCGGGAAGAAAUCGCGCCAGCUAAUACCUGGUGUGGAUGACGGUACCGGAAGAAGAAGCACCGGCUAACUACGUGCCAGCAGUCGCGGUAAUACGUAGGGUGCGAGCGUUAAUCGGAAUUACUGGGCGUAAAGCGUGCGCAGGCGGAUUGUUAAGCAAGACGUGAAAUCCCCGGGCUUAACCUGGGAACUGCGUUUGUGACUGUAGGGCUUGAGUGCGGCAGAGGGGGGUGGAAUUCCACGUGUAGCAGUGAAAUGCGUAGAGAUGUGGAGGAACACCGAUGGCGAAGGCAGCCCCCUGGGUCGACACUGACGCUCAUGCACGAAAGCGUGGGGAGCAAACAGGAUUAGAUACCCUGGUAGUC